GGAUGUUUUGUUUUUCUAGCUGCCUUCUUGUUGCUGCCCCAAAGGUUUGUGGUGAAGGACACACGUUCACGUCUCCUGUUGUACCUGCUUGUGCCACAAGUGUUUGACAGCACUGUUCCCAUCUCCAAAGGAGCUCUUUGUUGUCUGUGUAAUCUCUGCCUGGAUUAAGUGGCAAAAGGCGAAUCCUCAGCUUAUGGGAAGAGCACACUUGACCUCUGCCUCCUUAGAGUUGCACUCUCCCUGGGGAGGAAGUGUUGGCUCAGCCCUGAACAAAGCGCUGGCUGUGAUGAGUGAGACUUUCUUGUCCUAGCAGUGUGGGGUUGAGCUGGGGGUCAGAUCUGUGCUGCAGUGAGAAGGAAGAGACAGAAGACCCGGUGACCUGGAAGCUUAGAGGUAGCCAGCUCAACUUACUGAGAAAUGUGAAGCUGCAUGAACCCCUCCAUCAGCAGAAACGCGCUGUCUGGGCAGGUGGUCCCACUGGCACAUCCAGAUAUGAAUUUUCUUGGCAAGAUGCAAAUGAGAUUCCUUUCCUGUUUUCCAACCCAUUCUCCUCUGCUGUGUCUUGCAGUACUUCUCAUCCUGAAAUGUGUUGCAUUCUUUGCAGGUUCUCCAAGUCCCAUGGAAGACAUCACUGGUAGUAAACCGUGCCCUUGUAUGGGCUUAAGACAAUGCUACGUGUGCUCAAUGAUACCUGUGCAGACCUCAGCCGUGGGGGAAGUGAAGUGGCCUCCCCUUCAGGGAGGGGCAGUCCAGGAGAAGGGAGCAGAGCAGUGAGCACUGCAGGAUGAGAGCACUGCCUUACCUGCAGGUGGACCAGCAGAUGGAAGGUGAGUGCAGACUACAGACUCUGCCAGCUGCCAGCCAAGCUGCUGCUGGGUGCCAGUCAGGGAAAGAGUGGUUUUUGGGAGUACAUCUGUAUCUAGUGUCACUUGCUUUACCGCUGGGAGAAGGUUUGCUCAUCAGCUGCUGUGAGCUCAGACCUGGGGCACCCAAUGGUCUUUUGGGAAGCAACAGCUAUCGCGCAACCCAAGCAGACCUCCUGCUCUGGCAGCUUACGU
ensembl:lncRNA